rnacentral:rRNA from 1 species
UACAGAGGUCCCGAGCGUUGUUCGGAUUCACUGGGCGUAAAGGGUGCGUAGGUGGCCUAAAAAGUUUGAUGUGAAAGCUCAGGGCUUAACCCUGAAAUGGCAUUGAAUACUGUUGGGCUGGAGGUUUGGAGGGGGGACUGGAAUUCUUGGUGUAGCAGUGAAAUGCGUAGAUAUCAAGAGGAACACCAGUGGCGAAGGCGAGUCCCUGGACAACACCUGACACUGAGGCACGAAAGCUAGGGGAG